rnacentral:antisense_RNA from 1 species
GCAACGGGCUUUGUUUAAUGUCAGACAAAUUAAACCACGACCGUAAGUUGCCAUAAAAUUUAUUGCUUCAGGCGUGAUUUUAUCUGAUGCAAUAAU